rnacentral:rRNA from 1 species
GAGUGGACUCCUACGGGAGGCAGCAGUAGGGAAUCUUCGGCAAUGGGGGCAACCCUGACCGAGCAACGCCGCGUGAGUGAAGAAGGUUUUCGGAUCGUAAAGCUCUGUUGUAAGUCAAGAACGAGUGUGAGAGUGGAAAGUUCACACUGUGACGGUAGCUUACCAGAAAGGGACGGCUAACUACGUGCCAGCAGCCGCGGUAAUACGUAGGUCCCGAGCGUUGUCCGGAUUUAUUGGGCGUAAAGCGAGCGCAGGCGGUUUGAUAAGUCUGAAGUUAAAGGCUGUGGCUCAACCAUAGUUCGCUUUGGAAACUGUCAAACUUGAGUGCAGAAGGGGAGAGUGGAAUUCCAUGUGUAGCGGUGAAAUGCGUAGAUAUAUGGAGGAACACCGGUGGCGAAAGCGGCUCUCUGGUCUGUAACUGACGCUGAGGCUCGAAAGCGUGGGGAGCGAACAGGAUUAGAUACCCUUGUAGUCCU